rnacentral:rRNA from 1 species
UACGUAGGCAGCGAGCGUUGUUCGGAGUUACUGGGCGUAAAGGGUGCGUAGGCGGUUGUUUAAGUUUGGUGUGAAAUCUCCCGGCUCAACUGGGAGGGUGCGCCGAAUACUGAAUGACUAGAGUGCGGGAGAGGAUAGUGGAAUUCCUGGUGUAGCGGUGAAAUGCGUAGAUAUCAGGAGGAAUACCGAUGGCGAAGGCAGGUCUCUGGGCUGACACUGACGCUCAUGCACGAAAGCGUGGGGGAGCAAACAGG